GACGAACGCUGGCGGCGUGCUUAACACAUGCAAGUCGAACGAAAAGAGGGAAAGAGCUUGCUCCUUCCGGAAUUGAGUGGCAAACGGGUGAGUAACACGUAAACAACCUGCCUUCAGGAUGGGGACAACAGACGGAAACGACUGCUAAUACCGAAUAAGUUCCAAGAGCCGCAUGGCCCAUGGAAGAAAAGGUGGCCUCUACCUGUAAGCUAUCGCCUGAAGAGGGGUUUGCGUCUGAUUAGCUGGUUGGAGGGGUAACGGCCCACCAAGGCGACGAUCAGUAGCCGGUCUGAGAGGAUGAACGGCCACACUGGAACUGAGACACGGUCCAGACUCCUACGGGAGGCAGCAGUGGGGAAUCUUCCGCAAUGGGCGAAAGCCUGACGGAGCAACGCCGCGUGAGUGAUGACGGCCUUCGGGUUGUAAAACUCUGUGAUCCGGGACGAAAAGGCAGAGUGCGAAGAACAAACUGCAUUGACGGUACCGGAAAAGCAAGCCACGGCUAACUACGUG
rnacentral:rRNA from 1 species